rnacentral:rRNA from 1 species
AUUGAACGCUGGCGGCAUGCUUUACACAUGCAAGUCGAACGAGUGGCGAACGGGUGAGUACUAUAUCGGAACGUACCGAGUAAUGGGGGAUAACCAGUCGAAAGAUUGGCUAAUACCGCAUAUUAUGCGAGCGGCCGAGAGGUGAUUAGCUAGUUGGUGGGGUAAAGGGCUACCCAGGCGACGAUCAGUAGCGGGUCUGAGAGGAUGAGCCGCCAAACUGCGACUGAGAGACGGCCCAGACUCCUACGGGCGGAAGCAGGGGAGAAUUGUGGACAAUGGGGGCAACCCUGAUCGAGCCAUGCCGCGAGUAUGAAGAAGGCCUUCGGGUUGUAAAGUACUUUUGUUAGGGAAGCGGUACCUAAAGAAUAAGCACCGGCUAACUACGUGCCAGCAGCCGCGGUAAUUC